GGGGACUUCCGGAGUCCGGAUCCGGGUUCCUGGAGCAGGCUUGACGACUGUGCUGUUUAGUUUGAGGUAUGGGUUCAGUGGUUCUGAUCUAUUAUAUGCUGCCAUCGUAUAUUGUGCCCAAAACAACAGAGCCAACUGAUUAUGGACUGAAACCUCCCAAAUUGUAAGCCAAGUCAACUUUCUAUUCAUCAGGGAGGAUGAUCUAGGAGCAUAAUCCAAGGAGCCAGCUGCUGUCUGAGAACCACAGCUACCCUUUGUGGACGCUAUUACACACCAGCUUCUGCAUCCCCUUACUUAUCACACGGUGUGUAUACACACGCACGCCUCCUUUUCAGAGACAAAACAGUCACAGGAAGUCAAACUCCGUG